rnacentral:rRNA from 1 species
GACGAACGCUGGCGGCGUGCUUAACACAUGCCAGUCGAACGGAGUUUAAGAGGAAGCUUGCGAAUCUUAAACUUAGUGGCGGACGGGUGAGUAACGCGUGGAUAACCUGCCUGAAUGACUGGGACAACACCGGGAAACUGGUGCUAAUACCGGAUACGCUCAUCAUUGCGCAGGCAAAGGUGAGGAAAGGAGAAAUCCGCAUACAGAUGGGUCCGCGUCCCAUUAGCUAGUUGGCGGUGUAAGAGACCACCAAGGCGACGAUGGGUAGCCGGCCUGAGAGGGUGGACGGCCACACUGGAACUGAGACACGGUCCAGACUCCUACGGGAGGCAGCAGUGGGGAAUCUUCCGCAAUGGGCGAAAGCCUGACGGAGCAACGCCGCGUGAGUGAGGAAGGCCUUCGGGUCGUAAAACUCUGUCUUCAGGGAAGAAAAAAAUGACGGUACCUGAGGAGGAAGCCCCGGCUAACUACGUGCCAGCAGCCGCGGUAAAACGUAGGGGGCGAGCGUUGUCCGGAAUUACUGGGCGUAAAGGGCGCGUAGGCGGUUAUUUAAGUCAGAGGUGAAAACUACCGGCUCAACCGGUAGCCUGCCUUUGAAACUGGAUGACUUGAGGGCAGGAGAGGGGAGUGGAAUUCCCAGUGUAGCGGUGAAAUGCGUAGAUAUUGGGAGGAACACCAGUGGCGAAGGCGGCUCUCUGGCCUGUUUCUGACGCUGAGGCGCGAAAGCGUGGGGAGCAAACGGGAUUAGAUACCCCGGUAGUCCACG